UACGGGGGGGGCAAGCGUUGUUCGGAAUUAUUGGGCGUAAAGCGCACGUAGGCGGCUAUCUAAGUCGGAUGUGAAAUCCCUCGGCUUAACCAAGGAAGUGCACCCGAAACUGGAUAGCUUGAGUACAGAAGAGGAUCGCGGAAUUCCCGGUGUAGAGGUGAAAUUCGUAGAUAUCGGGAGGAACACCAGUGGCGAAGGCGGCUUUCUGGUCUGUAACUGACGCUGAGGCGGCGAAAGCGUGGGGAGCAAACAGG
rnacentral:rRNA from 1 species